CACAGUGUAGCAAUACAUGGGUGGCGACCGGCAAACGGGUGCGGAACACGUACGCAACCUUCCUUCAGGCGGGGAAUAGCCCAGAGAAAUUUGGAUUAAUACCCCAUAAUAUUUUGAGAUGGCAUCAUCUUAUUAUUAAAGCUACGGCACCUGGAGAUGGGCGUGCGGCUGAUUAGGUAGUUGGCGGGGUAAUGGCCCACCAAGCCUACGAUCAGUAGCUGAUGUGAGAGCAUGAUCAGCCACACGGGCACUGAGACACGGGCCCGACUCCUACGGGAGGCAGCAGUAAGGAUAUUGGUCAAUGGAAGCAGUCUGAACCAGCCAUGCCGCGGGAGGAUGAAGUCCUCUGGAUUGUAAACUUCUUUUAUCUGGGACGAAAAAAGGGUUUUCUAACUCGUCUGACGGUACCAGAUGAAUAAGCACCGGCUAACUCCGUGCCAGCAGCCGCGGUAAUACGGAGGGUGCAAGCGUUAUCCGGAUUUCACUGGGUUUUAAAGGGUGCGUAGGCGGGCAUUUAAGUCAGUGGUGAAAUACCCUGAGCUUAACUUGGGAACUGCCAUUGAUACUAUUUGUCUUGAAUGUCGUGGAGGUUAGCGGAAUAUGUCAUGUAGCGGUGAAAUGCUUAGAUAUGACAUAGAACACCUAUUGCGAAGGCAGCUAACUACGCGAAUAUUGACGCUGAGGCACGAAAGCGUGGGGAUCAAACAGGAUUAGAUACCCUGGUAGUCCACGCCCUAAACGAUGAUUACUCGACAUUAGCGAUACACUGUUAGUGUCUGAGCG
rnacentral:rRNA from 1 species